rnacentral:rRNA from 1 species
AACGAACGCUGGCGGCAGGCUUAACACAUGCAAGUCGAACGCCCCGCAAGGGGAGUGGCAGACGGGUGAGUAACGCGUGGGAACGUACCUUUCAGUUCGGAAUAACUCAGGGAAACUUGUGCUAAUACCGGAUACGUCCGUAAGGAGAAAGAUUUAUCGCUGAAAGAUCGGCCCGCGUUGGAUUAGCUAGUUGGUGGGGUAAUGGCCUACCAAGGCGACGAUCCAUAGCUGGUCUGAGAGGAUGAUCAGCCACACUGGGACUGAGACACGGCCCAGACUCCUACGGGAGGCAGCAGUGGGGAAUAUUGGACAAUGGGCGAAAGCCUGAUCCAGCCAUGCCGCGUGAGUGAUGAGGGCCCUAGGGUUGUAAAGCUCUUUCACCGAUGAAGAUAAUGACGGUAGUCGGAGAAGAAGCCCCGGCUAACUUCGUGCCAGCAGCCGCCGUAA